CAGUAGCCACGGGAAUACGGAGGGAGCUAGCGUUGUUCGGAAUUACUGGGCGUAAAGCGCACGUAGGCGGCUAUUCAAGUCAGGGGUGAAAGCCCGGGGCUCAACCCCGGAACUGCCUUUGAAACUAGAUAGCUUGAAUCUUGGAGAGGCGAGUGGAAUUCCGAGUGUAGAGGUGAAAUUCGUAGAUAUUCGGAAGAACACCAGUGGCGAAGGCGACUCGCUGGACAAGUAUUGACGCUGAGGUGCGAAAGCGUGGGGAGCAAACAGGAUUAGAUACCCCCGUAGUCCCUGUCUCUUAUAC
rnacentral:rRNA from 1 species